rnacentral:tRNA from 2 species
GCCCCGGUAGCUCAGGGGAUAGAGCGUCUGCCUCCGGAGCAGAAGGUCGUAGGUUCGAAUCCUAUCCGGGGCACCA